rnacentral:rRNA from 1 species
AUUGAACGCUUGCGGCAGGCCUCACACAUGCAAGUCGAGCGAGCGGCGGACGGGUGAGUAAUGUAUGGGGACUGCCCGAUAGAGGGGGAUAACUACUGGAAACGGUAGCUAAUACCGCAUACUAUCGGAUAACCCAUAUGGGAUUAGCUAGUAGGUUAGGUAAUGGCUCACCUAGGCGACUAUCCCUAGCUGGUCUGAGAGGAUGAUCAGCCACACUGUGUCUGAGACACGGCACAGACUCCUACGGAGGCAGCAGUGGUGAAUAUUGCACAAUGGGCGCAAGCCUGAUGCAGCCAUGCCGCGUGUAUGAAGAAGGCCCUAGGGUUGUAAAGUACUUUCAGUCGGGAGGCGUUACCGACAGAAGAAGCACCGGCUAACUCCGUGCCAGAAGCCGAGGUAAUUC